rnacentral:rRNA from 1 species
AUUGAAUGCUGGCGGCAGGCCUAACACAUGCAAGUCGAGCGGGGUUUUCGGACCUAGCGGCGGACGGGUGAGUAAUGCGUAGGAAGCUGCCCGAUAGAGGGGGAUACCAGUUGGAAACGACUGUUAAUACCGCAUAAUGUCUACGGACCAAAGUGUGGGACCUUCGGGCCACAUGCUAUCGGAUGCGCCUACGUGGGAUU